UACGGUAGGGUGCAAGCGUUGUCCGGAAUUAUUGGGCGUAAAGAGCUCGUAGGCGGUCUGUUGCGUCGGCUGUGAAAACCCGAGGCUCAACCUCGGGCCUGCAGCCGAUACGGGCAGACUAGAGUUCGGCAGGGGAGACUGGAAUUCCGUGGUGAUAGCGGUGAAAUGCGCAGAGUAGUCAGGAGGAACACCGGUGGCGAAGGCGGGUCUCCUGGA
rnacentral:rRNA from 1 species